AACAAAACUUCUUUUUUUAUAUAAUCACUUGGAAUGCUACCAGUUAAGAUUAGAUAUAUCCUUUGUUAAAGAAAUAGCAAUGCACAUGGUUGAACCAAUCACACGAGACAUAUAUGUGCAGCCACCAGAGAUCAGAUCACUGGAUGACCUUGAAGAGUUUUGCUGCAUACUCAAACCCUUUCUACUGCUCCUUGAUCCUGCCAAAGAAGCGCCACACAAGAACAUUUCUCAACACUAAAAACCCCAGAGACCACAAUGGACCAAAGUCACUAGAAAACAGUUUAGAGCUGCUCAUCUCCCAACUGUCUCCAGGACACACCAAUCAGAGAAC